rnacentral:rRNA from 1 species
GACGAACGCUGGCGGCGUGCUUAACACAUGCAAGUCGAACGGAACGGCCCUGCUUUUGUGGGGUGCUCGAGUGGCGACCGGGUGACUAACCCGUGAGUACCCUGCCCUUGACUUUGGGAUAACUUAAUGAAACUGGGGCUCAUCCCGGAUAGGAGCUCCUGCUGCAUGGUGGGGGCUGGACAGUUUCGGCGGUUGGGGAUGGACACGCGGCUGCUCGGCUUGUUGGUGGGGUAGUGGCUUACCAAGGCUUUGCCGGGUAGCCGGGCUGAUAUGGGAACCGGAUAAGUUGCGAUGGGAAUGCGACACAGACUCCUACGGUAGGCAGCAGUGGGGUAUAGUGCACAGUGGGCGGAGGCAUGAUGCAGCACCGCCGCGUGCGGUAAGACGGCCUGGUGUUUGUAUACCGAUUUCGUCUGUGACGAGGCGUGAGUGACGGUAAUGGGUAAAGAAGCACCGGCUAACUACGUG